GUGGGGAAUCUUGCGCAAUGGGCGAAAGCCUGACGCAGCCAUGCCGCGUGAAUGAUGAAGGUCUUAGGAUUGUAAAAUUCUUUCACCGGGGACGAUAAUGACGGUACCCGGAGAAGAAGCUCCGGCUAACUUCGUGCCAGCAGCCGCGGUAAUACGAAGGGGGCUAGCGUUGCUCGGAAUUACUGGGCGUAAAGGGCGCGUAGGCGGACAGCUUAGUCAGAGGUGAAAGCCCAGGGCUCAACCUUGGAAUUGCCUUUGAUACUGGCUGUCUUGAGUUUGGGAGAGGUGAGUGGAACUCAGAGUGUAGAGGUGAAAUUCGUAGAUAUUCGGAAGAACACCAGUGGCGAAGGCGACUCACUGGCCCAAUACUGACGCCGAGGCGCGAAAGCGUGGGGAGCAAACAGGAUUAGAUACCCUGGUAGUCC
rnacentral:rRNA from 1 species